ACACGUAGGGGCCUAAGCGCGCCUCUCGGGACUAAAGUGCGAACAACGACAAACUCCAUAUGACCGCAUAUAUUUAUUCGCAGCUCGUGAUUUCGCCAGAUAUAUAAAAUUUUCAGUGUUGAGGUAGUUCUUCGUAGUGCUACAACCACUUCUGUAAUUUUUCUUCAGCAACGACGAGCUUAAGAACAAAGAAACGCAGAAGAAACAGGAAACAACAAAUUAUCCAUAAAUAAUAACGACUUCAAUGACAAUAACUGCGCGGUGAUACGGUUACCUUACUUAUUCGUUAUAGUUGGCCAGUGCCAUCAAAGGAAUACAAUGUGAGAGACGAACGAACAAGCCCAGCGAUGAUAUCAAGUCGCGGCUAAAAGAUUUACAAGAACUUUUCGCGGAGCCACAGAAAACAGACGAGAAACUCGACGACAAAAAAUAGUUUAAAUAGAAUAAUCAGUUCAUUUGUUAUUUAAAUUCACUGCCGUCAAUGCUUGCUUAUUACUACUUCUACUGCAGCUAUUGUUACAAUGGCGCCAAGGUGAAAUAACUUUGCCGUAAGACGUCGCACCCCGAACUGCCUCCGACUCCAGGGGACUACGAACCUUAAAAAGUACAUAGUGUUACUUGUAUUUGUUAGAAAGCAAACAAGAACAGGGACGUCGGAAACAAACAGGAAGUACGUGAGAGUGAGCUAAGGAGUUGCACAGAAAUAUAGUUCGAAAAGGCACCAAGGCAUUCAAAUGAGGAUCAAGCAGACCUCAGGAUUACCCCAAACAAGGACAAGCCGAAAAGAGUGGCGAUAUCAUUCAGGAAUAACGCUAGUUGGAACAAAUAGUGACAGCGUCGGCGGCGGCGGCGGCGGCGGCGGCGGCGGCAUCGACGGGAACAAAAACAGAAACGACACCCAGCAACGUACAACGUUUGUGGCAACGACAAAGACAAAAGUCGCUAACGUCAUUACAGAAACGCCAACGACGAACGUAACCUUAUUACAACUAACAAGAACGAUCGCAAAGUCAGCAACGUUUCGCGCGCAAGAGACAGUAAACAAAACGUCAGAUUGCAAUGAAAGCUAACCAUGCGACAAUAACAGGACUAGCGCAAAACACGCGAAGCAGCGUAUGAAAAGACCAUGUACUUAGCGGUACGGUAUGUCUCGAUCGGCUUCCGCAGCUUCAAGCGGUUUUCGUUGAGUGCUUCGCGCUGAAGACCGUGGACCUUCGGCCGACUCGGAAGAGAUGAAGCGCCACCGGUACUCCGGCAGCCGACGCGCCCACAAAGGCGGUGGAUAGUCGCGGCGCCCAGAGCCGCAGAGGCAUUAUGUCACAAGCACACGAACACAGGAGCAUAACCGCGAAACCAUAAUCGUUUUUUCUUAAUGUUAUCAGUA